UAAAUUAUUUUUUUUAAAACUACCACUAAUUUACUACACUAAUGUUUUUUUUUCUCCUUUUUCAUUAAGCUAUGCUAAAAAAAUAAAGAGAAAGAAGCUAAUCUAAAAAUUACUAAAUUAUAAUAAAAAUAAAAACUAACAACCAACCUACUAUAUAUAUGCUCCAGAUAAUCCCCCACCCAUACUUAUCUCAUGUAGUGUCCUCAAUGAAUAUAAAAUAAUGAAAAUUAAGUGAGGUGGUAAGAAAAUCUUCCUGGUCACUCCUCAUCAUCGCCCUCAUCAUAGAAGGCCAUAUCAGCAGCUGCCCAAUCUUCAUCAUCAUCUCCUGGCUUAGCAUCCUCCUCAGCUUCAUCCUCAAGCUGCUCUGGCUCGGCCUCUCAAUAUUUGGGCGUGUUGAAAUCUUCGUCCUCAGCAAACUAGACUUGAAGAACCAAGAACAAGGAAAAGAUGACAAAAACUUAUAGAAGGGCAAAAAUGCAGCAGGUAAGCGACUGCAAAAGUGAUGUGUGGGCCUAAAACAAACCGCAGAGUGAAGCGGAUACACCCAACUUUUAGAAUCAAUUUUGCGGUAAAUUUUGUUAUCGCAUAACGCUUGUGCGGACCGCAUAAUGACCGCAGAAGUUCAAAGAGUGUUUUUGCGAGAACAAUUCUGCGGCAUCAAAUGAGACCGGGAAGUCAAUGUGCGGACCACAUAAUGGAUCUGCAAUGGAAAACUGGGCAACUGGACAUUCAAGUAUGCGAUGAAAUUGUAGUUAUGCGGGCCGCAAAAGUGUUUUGCGGCUUGUUCUACAAUCGCAGAUGUGAUUUGCAGGGGUAUUUUUGUUAUAUUUUGACGCUGACUUUUAGUCCAUUAUAAAUAGAAUAACUAGGGUUUUGUGGGCCAUCUUGUCUGGAAAAAAGGCAUUAAAUACACCAUUAUUUUGGAAGCUUUGGAAGAAGAGAAUAUUGUCAUCUUUGUAAGCCUUAUGACUUUAUAUAUUGCUUUGUUUUUGGAUUA